CCUACGGGAGGCUGCAGUAGGGAAUUUUGCGCAAUGGGGGAAACUCUGACGCAGCAACGCCGCGUGAUCGAUGAAGGCCUUCGGGGUGUAAAGUUCUGUCAGGGGGGACGAAAACUGACGGUACCCACAGAGGAAGCACCGGCUAACUCCGUGCCAGCAGCCGCGGUAAUACGGGGGGGGCAAGCGUUGUCCGGAAUGACUGGGCGUAAAGAGUGCGUAGGUGGCCUGUUAAGUCUGAUGUUAAAGGCGGAAGCUCAACCUGCGAAGGGCAUUGGAUACUGGCGAGCUGGAAUGCAGGAGAGGUAAGGGGAAUUCCUGGUGUAGCGGUGAAAUGCGUAGAUAUUAGGAGGAACAUCGGUGGCGUAAGCGCUUUACUGGGCCGUAAUUGACAUUGAGGAACGAAAGCCGGGGUAGCAAACGGGAUUAGAUACCCGUGUAGUC
rnacentral:rRNA from 1 species